CAAAGGGAGGGCUUCGAGGAAAAUCCGGCCGAAAAUGCAUUUUUACUAGUUGUUAUCAUUCGGACUCAUGAUGUAAAGUUGACUGUAUAUUCAGCUCGAAGUCAUACACGGACAAUGCGAUCUCUGAGCUCGAUAUAAAACAUGACAUAACGGUAAAUAACCGUUGAACUAUACAAGAUUUUAGCGCUCUCUAGUGGCCAACCGAAAUCGCCAAAUAAACAAACAGCAGCGAUGGUUCAAGCGAAGGACACGCACAAAUGGACACCACAGGAGACCAGACGGCUCAUUAAUUUCAGGGGGACCAGGGACAAUGAGUUCCUAAAAUCGGAAAUGAUCGCCAGAAAACAGUGGGAGUGAGUCUUACGUUGUUCAAUCUUUUCAUUCUUGCGUCUGUUUUCUACUUUGGUAUUUCUGUGUUGAGCUCAAUAGCCCACUGAAUGUCUGUGUCAUUAUACCAAUUGCCUAAUGAAUGUAUCAAC